UUAAACGGAGAGUUUGAUCCUGGCUCAGGAUGAACGCUGGCGGCGUGCCUAACACAUGCAAGUCGAACGAUGAAACCGCCCUCGGGCGGACAUGAAGUGGCGAACGGGUGAGUAACACGUGACCAACCUGCCCCCCUCUCCGGGACAACCUUGGGAAACCGAGGCUAAUACCGGAUACUCCCUCCCCUGCUCCUGCAGGGGUCGGGAAAGCCCAGGCGGAGGGGGAUGGGGUCGCGGCCCAUUAGGUAGUAGGCGGGGUAACGGCCCACCUAGCCCGCGAUGGGUAGCCGGGUUGAGAGACCGACCGGCCACAUUGGGACUGAGAUACGGCCCAGACUCCUACGGGAGGCAGCAGUGGGGAAUUUUGCGCAAUGGGGGAAACCCUGACGCAGCAACGCCGCGUGCGGGACGACGGCCUUCGGGUUGUAAACCGCUUUCAGCAGGGAAGAAAUUCGACGGUACCUGCAGAAGAAGCUCCGGCUAACUACGUGCCAGCAGCCGCGGUAAUACGUAGGGAGCGAGCGUUAUCCGGAUUCAUUGGGCGUAAAGAGCGCGUAGGCGGCCUCUCAAGCGGGAUCUCUAAUCCGAGGGCUCAACCCCCGGCCGGAUCCCGAACUGGGAGGCUCGAGUUCGGUAGAGGCAGGCGGAAUUCCCGGUGUAGCGGUGGAAUGCGCAGAUAUCGGGAAGAACACCGAUGGCGAAGGCAGCCUGCUGGGCCGCAACUGACGCUGAGGCGCGAAAGCUAGGGGAGCGAACAGGAUUAGAUACCCUGGUAGUCCUAGCCGUAAACGAUGGAUACUAGGUGUGGGGGGCUCCGCCCUCCGUGCCGCAGCCAACGCAUUAAGUAUCCCGCCUGGGGAGUACGGCCGCAAGGCUAAAACUCAAAGGAAUUGACGGGGGCCCGCACAAGCAGCGGAGCAUGUGGCUUAAUUCGAAGCAACGCGAAGAACCUUACCAGGGCUUGACAUGGACGUGAAGCCGGGGAAACCCGGUGGCCGAGAGG
rnacentral:rRNA from 1 species